ACCACUCUGGAAUUAGGGACUAAUAACCAGACAGUAUAGUAGUCUCAAUAUAGGAUUGUUCUCUUAGGAAAAUCGAUGUCUAGAGAACAUCGACAUUCAAAAGGAAAACAAUGAAGGCUUGAAUCCGAGCACUGACAUCCCCUGCCAGCCCUUGAGACAGGUGCAUGCAGAACAAUACCAAAACACUUCUCUUUAAAGAAUAACAAAAUGUAUUGAUGCAGUAAUAUCAAUUAAUAAUCAAUACAAUGCAAUCAAUAAACUUCCGACUUCAAACUAAACAGUAACAUGAUUAGAUAUGGUAACAAAUAAGCCUAUAACACAUGAGAGGAAGGUGUGUGUGUGUGUGUCUGUGUGUGUGUGUGUAUAAGGAGAGAAGGAGGGCACAAAAUGGUGGACGUGGGUCUCAUGGAGAGUACGUCACGCGAGGUUUCCAGCCACAGAAUGUGGCUGCGAAUGUGGACGGAGAGACUGGUUAAUGCCAUCUGCCGGUUUAACACAUGUCUCCACUGGUACGAUAACUUAAGGACAAAGUGGGGCUCUAUCGCCAAGUUAUCUGCUCGCCAAAUGUGUGUGCGGGUAUAUUUGGGGUCGUGUGUAUGUGUGGUUAGUACGAGAGAGAGAGAACAGAGUGACGGCACCGAAGCCGGUUUUAGUGAUCGUGGGAGAGAAGGCAACCGUUAGUUUUAUCACUCAGAGACACAGUGAACGGCUCGUAAUCCAUCCGCCAUGGCCGUUGGUUCUUUAAUGGAUAAACUCAGUGUGCCGGUCUCACCCGCGAUGGUGGAAAUAUACAAACAGCACAACGUGGUUGGACACCUUAUUCGUGGUAACAGUAAGUUACAAUAAUACCUUGAGUAUUAUUAGCAGCAAUGAGUGGACUCAGCGGUCCAUAAACUGUACAAGCAAUAACCUUGAUACACAAGAAUAACACACUAUAAUAAUCUAUCUCUGCCCAGACGUAAACCUCUUACUUGAGUCGAGUGAGGAUGCAGGUAGAAUAUGUGUUCAUCCGUCGUUUGACCCCAACUCGGUUCCUCGAGGCUUGGGUGAUGACGGGAGGCCGUUUCCUUCUUCUUUCUUCACUUCUGCAGGCAAAUGGGUGAAGACGCGGACUGCUUGGUGGUCUCCUUCGGAUCCGUUAGCAUGCUCAGUGGAACACAGAGAAAUCUCAGCUCGUCCAAAGAAAUGGAGAUUGUAUGGCCAAAGUUCAGUGCGUGCAGAACAAUGUCCUGACGAGCAAAAUAUGUGAUACAAGAAAGCUUAAAACCAAUGCUUACGAGUAAUUGUCUGCCUUCUUGAUGAGUCGAGUGUAGAAGAGGCUGGUGGAACUGGUGGAGAUGGUGGGAUCGGUACCGAGCACUUCCGAGGGAUAAUAAUGUCUUCUUCUUCAGAAGACUGGAACUCUGGGUACUUGGCAAAUUGGAGAGGCGCUUCAGCUCAGCAAGAUAGGUCUGUUCUCUGUGGUCCACGGACGUCGACAUAUGUUGCAGCAUCCAGUGUUUUUGAUGUGGAAAUGGUUGAGAGAUAAGCAUUUAAUAUCUAAAUAGCAGUGAAGUCAGCAUUUUAAUGUUUCCAAUAUGCUGCUAAUUCUUUAUUUCCCUUGGAUGGUGCUGAAGUUGCUCACCAAGGCUCUCUUAAUUUAAAAUGGACACACUCCAUCACUGACAUCCCUAACUCCAUCCCUGACUACCACUGUUUUAAGUAGUCUUGGAGUUUUCAGCAAUAUUGAAUUGAUAUUUUUUUAUUCCACCCUGGGAGAUCAAUGACAUUUAUUCUUAAUGAGGUGUUUUGCUGCCCACUCUUGUAGAAACCCUGUGCGUGAAGCUGGAACUCAGGCUCCAAACUGCAGUCCUCCACUCUUGACUCAUUGUACUCUAAAUGUUCCUCAGUGUUAUUUUUCUUCCUUUUAUUGUUCCAAUUUAAUAAAACUAUUUGCCCAGUUAUUUCUGCCCAGUAGCUCAAUCAGUAGAGCAAGUCACUAGCAAUGCUGGAAUCAUGGGUUCUAUACCCAGGGAACGCAUGAACUUGAUAGAAUGUAUACCCUGAAUGCAAUGUAAGUCGCUUUUGUUAAAAGCGUCUACCAAAUGCAUAAAUGUUAAUGUAAUAAAACAGUUUGUCCUGUUAUUUAUUCCAUUGGUUCCUGUUUUGAUAAAACUCUUUG